rfam:Aedes albopictus isolate Foshan contig147974, whole genome shotgun sequence.
UGUUCUGUGGCCUAGUUGGUUAAAGUACUGGACUAACGAUACGAAGUCGUGGGUUCGAAUCCCACCAAAACAA